rnacentral:rRNA from 1 species
GAUCAUGGCUCAGGAUGAACGCUAGCUACAGGCUUAACACAUGCAAGUCGAGGGGCAGCAUGAACUUAGCUUGCUAAGUUUGAUGGCGACCGGCGCACGGGUGAGUAACGCGUAUCCAACCUACCCUUGUCCAUCGGAUAACCCGUCGAAAGGCGGCCUAACACGAUAUGCGGUUCACCGCAGGCAUCUAACGUGAACGAAAUGUGAAGGAGAAGGAUGGGGAUGCGUCUGAUUAG